UGGGGAAUAUUGCACAAUGGGCGCAAGCCUGAUGCAGCCAUGCCGCGUGUGUGAAGAAGGCCUUCGGGUUGUAAAGCACUUUCAGCGGGGAGGAAGGCGUUAAGGUUAAUAACCUUGGCGAUUGACGUUACCCGCAGAAGAAGCACCGGCUAACUCCGUGCCAGCAGCCGCGGUAAUACGGAGGGUGCAAGCGUUAAUCGGAAUUACUGGGCGUAAAGCGCACGCAGGCGGUCUGUCAAGUCGGAUGUGAAAUCCCCGGGCUCAACCUGGGAACUGCAUUCGAAACUGGCAGGCUAGAGUCUUGUAGAGGGGGGUAGAAUUCCAGGUGUAGCGGUGAAAUGCGUAGAGAUCUGGAGGAAUACCGGUGGCGAAGGCGGCCCCCUGGAAAAAGACUGACGCUCAGGUGCGAAAGCGUGGGGAGCAAACAGG
rnacentral:rRNA from 1 species